rnacentral:rRNA from 1 species
GACGAACGCUGGCGGCGUGCUUAACACAUGCAAGUCGAGCGGUAAGGCCCUUUCGGGGGUACGACGAGCGGCGAACGGGUGAGUAACACGUGGGUGACCUGCCUCUAGCUCUGGGAUAAGCCUGGGAAGCUGGGUCUAAUACCGGAUAUGACCUCGCGGUGCAUGUUGCGGGGUGGAAAGCCUUGUGCGGCUAGGGAUGGGCCCGCGGCCUAUCAGCUUGUUGGUGGGGUGANGGCCUACCAAGGCGACGACGGGUAGCCGGCCUGAGAGGGCGACCGGCCACACUGGGACUGAGACACGGCCCAGACUCCCACGGGAGGCAGCAGUGGGGAAUCUUGCGCAAUGGGCGAAAGCCUGACGCAGCGACGCCGCGUGAGGGAUGACGGCCU